UAGACAUUUCACAAAAAUGGGCAGGCAAUAAAAGUUCCUAUCUGUACCUGUAAAAACUAAUCAUAAUUUUUUACAUGGUUUGUGAGUUCCAUCAUUGUAGAGAAUUGCAAUGAAGUUUUGUAAGUAAAGGGAAAGAGAUCCAUAUAAUCAAAGAAACCACUUUAUUUUAAUAAGAUGAAUGAAUGCACCUCUUCAAGUUCUACAGAAUUAUUAAAUGAAGGAAUCUGCUUCAGAAUUACUGACUGCAUGUCGCUGCAACAUCUGUGCUACAAAGUUUGAUUGUUU